AUGCAAGUCGCGUGCGCAGUUCGCGUAGCAAUACGUGGAUGGGCGCACGGCGCACGGGUGCGUAACACGUGGGCAAUCUGCCCUCCGAUGGGGAAUAGCCCCGCGAAAGCGGGGCUAAUACCGCAUAACAUUCCUUGGACCACGGUUUGGGGAUUCAAAGCAGUGAUGUGUCGGAGGAGGAGCCCGCGCCCGAUUAACUAGUUGGUGAGGUAACGGCUCACCAAGGCAAUGAUCGGUAGCUGGUCUGAGAGGAUGAUCAGCCACACUGGAACUGAGACACGGUCCAGACUCCUACGGGAGGCAGCAGUGGGGAAUCUUGCGCAAUGGGCGAAAGCCUGACGCAGCGACGCCGCGUGGGGGAUGAAGCUUUUCGGAGUGUAAACCCCUUUCGACUGGGACGAAUGCCCGCAAGGGAGUGACGGUACCAGUAGAAGAAGCCCCGGCUAACUACGUGCCAGCAGCCGCGGUAAGACGUAGGGGGCCAGCGUUGUUCGGAAUUACUGGGUGUAAAGGGUUCGUANGCGGUGUGGCAAGUUGGGAGUGAAAUCUCUGGGCUUAACUCAGA
rnacentral:rRNA from 1 species